CUCCCUGUUCCUGGAUCUCAUACAGGUGUCUUCCCUUUCCCUCCCUGUUCCUGGAUCUCAUACAGGUGUCUUCCCUUUCUCUCCCUGUUCCUGGAUCUCAUACAGGUGUCUUCCCUUUCUCUCCCUGUUCCUGGAUCUCAUACAGGUGUCUUCCCUUUCUCUCCCUGUUCCUGGAUCUCAUACAGGUGUCUUCCCUUUCUCUCCCUGUUCCUGGAUCUCAUACAGGUGUCUUCCCUUUCUCUCCCUGUUCCUGGAUCUCAUACAGGUGUCUUCCCUUUCUCUCCCUGUUCCUGGAUCUCAUACAGGUGUCUUCCCU